GACGAACGCUGGCGGCGUGCCUAAUACAUGCAAGUAGAACGCUGAAGAGAGGAGCUUGCUCUUCUUGGAUGAGUUGCGAACGGGUGAGUAACGCGUAGGUAACCUGCCUUGUAGCGGGGGAUAACUAUUGGAAACGAUAGCUAAUACCGCAUAACAAUGGGUGACUCAUGUCAUUUAUUUGAAAGGGGCAAAUGCUCCACUACAAGAUGGACCUGCGUUGUAUUAGCUAGUAGGUGAGGUAACGGCUCACCUAGGCGACGAUACAUAGCCGACCUGAGAGGGUGAUCGGCCACACUGGGACUGAGACACGGCCCAGACUCCUACGGGAGGCAGCAGUAGGGAAUCUUCGGCAAUGGGGGCAACCCUGACCGAGCAACGCCGCGUGAGUGAAGAAGGUUUUCGGAUCGUAAAGCUCUGUUGUAAGUCAAGAACGAGUGUGAGAGUGGAAAGUUCACACUGUGACGGUAGCUUACCA
rnacentral:rRNA from 1 species